UACGGGGGGAGCAAGCGUUGUUCGGAUUUACUGGGCGUAAAGGGCGCGUAGGCGGCCACCGCACGCCAGUUGUGAAAUCUCUGGGCUUAACCCAGAACGGUCAGCUGAUACUGCGGGGCUAGAGUGCAGAAGGGGCAACUGGAAUUCUCGGUGUAGCGGUGAAAUGCGUAGAUAUCGAGAGGAACACCUGCGGCGAAGGCGGGUUGCUGGGCUGACACUGACGCUGACAGCGCGAAAGCUAGGGGAGCGAACGGG
rnacentral:rRNA from 1 species